rnacentral:rRNA from 1 species
CCUACGGGAGGCAGCAGUGGGGAAUAUUGCACAAUGGGGGAAACCCUGAUGCAGCGACGCCGCGUGAGUGAAGAAGUAUUUCGGUAUGUAAAGCUCUAUCAGCAGGGAAGAAGCAAGACGGUACCUGACUAAGAAGCCCCGGCUAACUACGUGCCAGCAGCCGCGGUAAUACGUAGGGGGCAAGCGUUAUCCGGAUUUACUGGGUGGAAAGGGAGCGUAGACGGUAUGGCAAGUCUGAAGUGAAAGCCCAGGGAUUAACCCUGGGAAUGCUUUGGAAACUGUUAGACUAGAGUGCUUGAGAGGUAAAUGGAAUUCCUAGUGGAGCGGUGCAAUGCGUAGAUAUUAGGAGGAACACCAGUGGCGAAGGCGGCUUACUGGACAGUAACUGACGUUGAGGCUCGAAAGCGUGGGGAGCAAACAGGAUGAGAGACCCGGGUAGUC